rnacentral:misc_RNA from 1 species
UCUCCGUUGGUGAACCAGCGGAGGGAUCAUUACCAGAGUCUUAAACUUCCCAACCCCUCUGUGAACCUACCUCUCGUUGCUUCGGCGGACUCGCCCCAGCGUCCGCACGGCCCCGCGCCGGCCCCCGACCCGGAUCCAUGCCGCGGCUGUAUACCAAACAAUCCUGUUACCAUUAGUCUUUCUGAAUCCGCCGCAAGGCAAAACAAACGAAUCAAAACUUUCAACAAUCGGUCUCUUAGUUCUGGCAACGACGAAGAACGCAGCUGAACGGAAGUGCCC